GACGAACGCUGGCGGCGUGCUUAACACAUGCAAGUCGAACGGAAAGGCCCGGCUUUGGUGGGGGGCUCGAGGGGCGAACGGGUGAGUAAAACGUGAGUAACCUGCCCUUGACUUUGGGAUAACUUCAGGAAACUGGGGCUAAUACCGGAUAGGAGCUCCUGCUGCAGGGUGGGGGUUGGAAAGUUUCGGCGGUUGGGGAUGGACUCGCGGCUUAUCAGCUUGUGGGUGGGGUAGUGGCUUACCAAGGCUUUGACGGGUAGCCGGCCUGAGAGGGUGACCGGCCACAUUGGGACUGAGAUACGGCCCAGACUCCUACGGGAGGCAGCAGUGGGGAAUAUUGCACAAUGGGCGGAAGCCUGAUGCAGCAACGCCGCGUGCGGGAUGACGGCCUUCGGGUUGUAAACCGCUUUCGCCUGUGACGAAGCGUGAGUGACGGUAAUGGGUAAAGAAGCACCGGCUAACUACGUG
rnacentral:rRNA from 1 species